AGGACGAACGCUGGCGGCGUGCUUAACACAUGCAAGUCGAACGGUAAGGCCUUUCGGGGUACACGAGUGGCGAACGGGUGAGUAACACGUGGGUGAUCUGCCCUGCACUUUGGGAUAAGCCUGGGAAACUGGGUCUAAUACCGAAUAUGACCAUUGGUUGCAUGACUGGUGGUGGAAAGCUUUUGCGGUGUGGGAUGGGCCCGCGGCCUAUCAGCUUGUUUGUGGGGUUAAGGCCUACCAAGGCGACGACGGGUAGCCGGCCUGAGAGGGUGUCCGGCCACACUGGGACUGAGAUACGGCCCAGACUCCUACGGGAGGCAGCAGUGGGGAAUAUUGCACAAUGGGCGCAAGCCUGAUGCAGCGACGCCGCGUGAGGGACGACGGCCUUCGGGUUGUAAACCUCUUUCAGUAGGGACGAAGCGCAAGUGACGGUACCUACAGAAGAAGGACCGGCCAACUACGCGCCAGCAGCCGC
rnacentral:rRNA from 1 species